ACCCUCGUAGCUCAGCGGAAGAGCGACGGGCUCCUAUCCCGUAGGCCGGACGUUCGAUUCGUCUCGAGGGUGCCC
rnacentral:tRNA from 1 species